rnacentral:rRNA from 1 species
GACAGAGGGUGCAAACGUUGUUCGAAAUUACUGGGCGUAAAGCGCGUGUAGGCGGCUUGGCAAGUCGGGUGUGAAAGCCCCGGGCUCAACCUGGGAAGUGCACUCGAAACUGCUUGGCUUGAGUACUGGAGAGGGAAGCGGAAUUCUCGGUGUAGAGGUGAAAUUCGUAGAUAUCGAGAGGAACACCGGUGGCGAAGGCGGCUUCCUGGACAGUGACUGACGCUGAGACGCGAAAGCGUGGGGAGCAAACAGG